rnacentral:lncRNA from 1 species
ACUAUUUAGGGGGCAAUCAUAGUAGUUCAGGAAGACAUGUGCUAGGGUGACAUCACUAGGGGUGAUGCCUGUUGACUUGCACUGCACAUUAACUGGAUUUAAGUGAGGCAGAGUUUUUCAAUGUUGUCAAUGUUAUUCUCUCUUACAUAUCCAGUGGCAGGACCAAAGCCAGGAUGACGGUGGUGAUGGCUCAGGAUGUGGUGGAUGAUGUUGGCUUCUUCAGUGUCUGACCAAGUUCUAAGUACUCCUUAGCCUCUGCUUCUACUGCCUUCAUGGCCAUUGGAUUAAAUUGCUCUCAUCUCUCCCUUCCUCAGAUGAAAGCCUUCACAUGUUUGGGGUAGACACCCAUUUUGACUCUGAUGGAUUUAGCCCAUCUGCUGAGAUGGCAGGUAGCUCAAUGGAGAGAGUGCUACUGAAUCUGGAAUCAGAAGGAUCUGAGUUCAAAUCCAGUCUCAGAUAUUUACUAGCUGCAUGA